CCUACGGGUGGCAGCAGUGAGGAAUAUUGGUCAAUGGACGCAAGUCUGAACCAGCCAUGCCGCGUGCAGGAAGACGGCUCUAUGAGUUGUAAACUGCUUUUGUACGAGGGUAAACGCAGAUACGCGUAUCUGUCUGAAAGUAUCGUACGAAUAAGGAUCGGCUAACUCCGUGCCAGCAGCCGCGGUAAUACGGAGGAUUCAAUCGUUAUUCGGAUUUAUUGGGUUUAAAGGGUGCGUAGGCGGUCGGAUAAGUUAGAGGUGAAAUCCCGAGGCUCAACUUCGGAAUUGCCUCGGAUACUGUUCGGCUUGAGAGUAGUGGCGGUAGGCGGAAUGUAUGGUGUAGCGGUGAAAUGCUUAGAGAUCAUACAGAACACCGAUUGCGAAGGCAGCUUACCAAGCUCCUUCUGACGUUGAGGCACGAAAGCGUGGGGAGCAAACAGGAUUAGAUACCCCGGUAGUC
rnacentral:rRNA from 1 species